UGUGGUGUUCAGGUGCUUUGCAGCACCAAGUCCCUGCCUUUCCCAUCCCUUCUCCUGGGAAGGGCUCAGCCCUCGCAGCAGGAUCUGCUCCUCACCCUCACAUGUCCUGUGGUGCUCACAGCAGGGCCCUCUUGCCUCACUUUUACUGAACAGAAGCCAACUCCCAGCCUCCACAGCUGCUGCCAGUGCAUCUCCCAGCACUUUUGGGUUCCCCUGAGCCCUCUGGGGUUUUGAAGCCAUCUCCAGGAGCUGUUGGGUGACUCACCAGACAGAUGUGAAGGCAGCACAGGUGCUGCCCAGCUGAGGCUCCCACUGGGAUGGCAUGAAGGAAAAAUGCCAUGGGCACACAGGGGCUCACAGGCUUGGUUAUAGCUCCAUAGACCCUCAAAUGCUCUCACCCAGUAGCUGAACUACAGCCCUUCAAUAACUGCUGCUCAUCUCCCUUCCCUGGAUCUCAGGAAAACAGACCCAGCUCAAGCCCUGGUUACCUGGAGAUGCUGAAAGCAGAUUCAAGUGCAUGGAGUAUUGAACCCAGACACAAGUUCACCCCAAAUCUGGCAAGUUAGAGUUUAAAAUAGUAUGUGUUCAGGGUGAGUCCAUUCUGGGAGAGGAGCAGCACCGUUUCUCCAGGGCACCUUCUCCAUCCCAGGAUCUUUGCUGGCACCCACCAGCUGAGGAGGAGUGGACAGAGCUGGACAGGAUCCCUGGAGCCCUCGUGUCCACAUCCCUCUGGCUGCAGGACACCAGGGUUCUACGAGGUCAGACCCUUCCCCCAGCUGCAUCCAUGAGCUGGGGACCUCCAGGAAAAAGCCAUGAGCUGGGAAGCUCCAGGAAAAAGGCACUGGUGGGAUGUUGCUGGCAGGUUUGGUGGUUGGUGGGAGCAGCAGGCGAGGUGGCCUCGUGCUCGGGGUUGCUGGUCCCGGCGGUGCUCCGAGUGCAGCGUCAGCUGGAUUUUGGCAGCUCUCAGCCCUGGCCCCUCACUGCCCACAGUCCUGGCCCCAGGGAGUCAGGGAGAAGGUGGCAUGCUCACGUCUGAAUACAACAUGUUCCCCAGGCAUGUUUGUUAACAUAGUCACAAAUAAACAUUUUGCAAGAUUUUU